CGAAAGGGCUAUAAAUACUCAGCAUGGUCACAUCACGUCACAGUAACCGUCUUCAAGUCGACGAUACACUACAACGACUCCCUGUUUCACUGUUAUUACAUCACCACAACAAUCAUGGUGAUAAUUCUUAAGGUCACAGUGUUGCUAUUCCUGGUUGGUUCGUCCACCGCUUUAAAU